CCCCCCACUCCAAAAGGGAGAAGUAAAACUCACAAAAGUCCACUCGGUCCACCAAUAACCACAAGCCCAAUCAAGGCAAUCUCUUUCUAAUGCCUCCAUCUGAAAAGUUGGAUAAAAUCUUAUAUGAAUAAAAGAUCUUUUAAAGAAAUCCCUUAUUCCGAGGUCAACGUAGCCACCAGAUCCAGUCUUGGGCCGCUUCAGUCACCCGGAUCCAGUCAGUAUCCAGACAAGAUGGUUGAUCAACACCUAGAAAGGACCUCUAUGGCCCUGAAACACAGCGGAGACCGUGACAACUAGAUGAGCCCCAGAUACAGAUCCCCUGUAAAGAC